UACGGGGGGGGCAAGCGUUGUUCGGAAUUACUGGACGUAAAGGGCGCGUAGGCGGUUCGCUAAGUUGGAUGUGAAAACUCUGGGCUCAACCCAGAGCCUGCAUCCAAAACUGGCGGGCUAGAGUUCUGGAGGGGGUAGCGGAAUUCCUGGUGUAGCGGUGAAAUGCGUAGAUAUCAGGAGGAACACCGGUGGCGAAGGCGGCUACCUGGACAGAAACUGACGCUGAGGCGCGAAAGCUAGGGGAGCAAACAGG
rnacentral:rRNA from 1 species